UACGGAGGGUGCAAGCGUUAUCCGGAUUCACUGGGGUUAAAGGGUGCGUAGGCGGGCAGGUAAGUCCGUGGUGAAAUCUCUGAGCUUAACUCAGAAACUGCCAUGGAUACUAUUUGUCUUGAAUAUUGUGGAGGCAAGCGGAAUAUGUCAUGUAGCGGUGAAAUGCUUAGAUAUGACAUAGAACACCCAUUGCGAAGGCAGCUUGCUACACAAUGAUUGACGCUGAGGCACGAAAGCGUGGGGAUCAAACAGG
rnacentral:rRNA from 1 species